UAAUUAAGUAGCUUAAGAUAAACAAAUUAACAAGGAGUGUGUGUGUGAAGCUAAGAAGAAAGAAUGGGAAGAGAGACUAGGUUUAUUUCAUGGAUUUGGUUUUUUUCAUGGAUACGUCCGUUACGGGGGCGCAACAUUGGCUUGCUUGAUCAACUAUAUGCAAUCCUAUCAAUAGUACUCAUGGACAAAGAUGGAGAGGAUAGACUAAUUUGGAAGGACAAUAAUUCAGGAAGAUUUUCAGUGAAAUCUCUCUGCGGAUUGUUGAGUCCAAAGCCUUCCACAAACAAUGCCUUCUCGUUUGCUGGAUUUUGGAAAGGUAUUGUCCCUCCUAAGGUAGAGAUCUUUUGCUGGAUGGCUAUCAUUAACAGACUCAACACCCGAUGUAUGUUGGUUCGAAGAGGUAUCUUGAGUAGCUCGGAAUCAAAUUGCCCUAUCUGCCUUGUUGAAGCAGAAUCGGUGGACCAUAUUCUGCUUCACUGCCAUAGGCAUUGGCUCAUUUGGUCCAAAAUCAUUAAAUGGUGGGGUUUAGUUUGGUGUUGCCCAAAGAGCUUCUCAGAUAUGUGGUCUCAAUGGUCUUCCAUGGUGCAUGGUAAUUUUCAAAGGAAGGCAUGGUUGAUGUUGUUCUUCUCAGUGGCAUGGUCUCUUUGGCUCCUUCGAAAUGAUCUCAUUUUCCAACAGAAGACACCUGAUUAUGACUCAAUUUUUUUUCUUAUUAUCACCCGUCUAUGUCUUUGGCUAAAAGCUAUCCAUUCAGAUUUUCCAUACUCCCCUACAGAUCUGAUCAGAUCGGCAGAUGGCUUGCUUCGGUGGUCCAAUGCUCACUCUUUCAGGAUUAAAAAUAUAUGGUCUCCUCCUAUGAUUAAUAGGCUCAAAUGGAAUGUGGAUGGCUCUUCUCUUGGUAAGCCAGGCCCCUCUGGAAUAGGUGGUGUGCUGUGAAAUCAUCAUGGCCAUGUGCUCGGUAUGUUCUCUGUUCCAGUUGGUAUUUUAGACUCUAAUAUUGCUGAGUUAAGGGCUAUUGUGAAAGCCAUUGAUCUAUCAGCAUCUAAUUGUCGUUUACACCAUCAACACCUCAUCAUUGAAUCUGACUCUGUCAAUGUUAUUCGCUGGAUGAAUAAUCCUCUCAGUCGUCCCUGGAAGCAUCAUAAUUUGUUCUCCUAUGUUAAUAGACUGAAAGCAUAUUUUGGUUCAAUCACCUUCUCUCAUAUCUUUCGUGAAAGUAAUUGCAUGGCAGAUGGCUUGGCUAAACAAUGAGUGCGGAGAUCAAGUGAAUUUGUUGCCCGGCUUUGAAUCCACCAUUUUUCUAUGGGCUUGCUAUUGUUUCUUCUCCCAUUAUGUCUUUGAGUAUUUUCUAUUUUGUUUUGUUGAGGAAUGUUUAGCUUCACCUCAUUUGGAUGGAUUUUGUAUGGUUUUCUUUGCUUUGGUUUAUCUUAAGUUGCGCUUUAUCCUUCAUAUGACUUUAUGUCAUAUUAAGAUAUUGUGUAACUUUUGUACUAUUCCCGUCAGACUUUGACGCUUAUAUAAUAUACACAUCUUUCAAAAAAACAAAAAACUAGGUUUAUUUCCAGGGCUUUGAGUUAGAGAGCAUAUAUUUAAUACAUUUAAGUUACAAAUUAAGUAACAAAAGGAAACUUAUUCAUCGUGGGGAACUUCAUAUUCUUCUGAUGAAAUGAUGAUGGGUGUGGAUUCGAGAUCAAAUAGCUGUCUUAAGUUAUAUGGAGCUGCGAUACUUGGUUUGCCAUUCCAAAACAGAUCAGCUAGAAUCCGAUAACCAUGCUCAGUAGGAUGCCAUCCAUCGAAGAACAGAUAUUCACUUGGAUUUUUGCAUAGCGUAUAUGGCUCUAUUCCAC
rnacentral:lncRNA from 1 species